UACCUAAAGGGGAGGAGCUCAUUUCAACAUCUACAUGAAGGGGAGGGGUCAACAUGACUGUACUGAAAUCUUUCCCUCGACACUGUUCUUUCCUGUGAUCGAGUGUGAAAUGGUCUUUUGUGUUGGUGGUUAGUAAGAUGUGACUGAAUACAUACAGGGGCUAACAAAGAGACGAUUAUAUAUAUAUAUAAUAGUGUCCUGAGGAUUAUUUCUGAACAGGGAUCCAUCGUCUGUGUUAUUUUUGCGAGUUUUUAUAAUUCCACGUAACAGACGCUUUUAUCCAAAGCGUUGGAAGCGUGAAUACGUUUUACGUAUCGGUGGCCCAGGCGGGAAUCAAACCCAUGACCUUAGGUAUUGGUGGCCCCGGCGGGAAUCAAACCCAUGACCCUAGGUAUCGGUGGCCCCGGCGGGAAUCAAACCCAUGACCUUAGGUAUCGGUGGCCCCGGCGGGAAUCAAACCCAUGACCUUAGGUAUUGCAAGCUCGGAGCCGCUGAGCCGCACACAGGGAUGCUGUGUUGUGUUUAUUACAGAUGUUACUAAUGUGUUGUACAUAUUAUUAAAUGGGCAGACGUCAAUAGAUGAUUUGGGGCAGGGUUCAAUGGAGCCGUUAUUCCUGUUUCUUCCCCGUGUCAGGAGAAAGAUUCCUGAACGUGACUUAAUCUCGGAUGUAGGUGUUGGGGUUGGGGGGGGGGGGAAGCGCUAUGAGUGAAGGACCAGACAUUGGGGUGUUACUUUGACUCUCUAUCCUCCUUUCUGUGUUUUUGUUACAUAGUGAAUAAGGGCUUGAGGGUCUGGAACAGUUUUCUCUUCCUGAUGUUCUGUGACCGUUAGUCAAAAUCCUUUUUAAUGUCUUUGUAAAUACUGUACAUGUUUUUGAUUGUUGUGUUUAUAUAUAUUAUGUUGUGUGUUCUUGAUAAUUAUUGCCAGAAUUAGUAGUUUAAUUGAUUUAAUGCUCUGUUUUGAACCUUUUCUAUAAGUGUAAUUACAUACUGUACGUUGGCCGCGAUUCAAGGAGUGUUGUAGCGCAGCAUACUAUAACAGAUUGUAAACAACAAAAAGGGGGCCAUUUUACGCGGACAUUUUCAGAGGUUUUACCAUGAAUACGCUCACCGCUAAAGUCCCUGGGAAAAAUGUCUGGCUGUAGAGCGCCGCUGUUGCUCUUUAUUAGCCGACAUGAUUAUAUGAGUUGUACUUUUCUCUUACGUACUGACUAGUCAGCUGUGGGUUUCCAUGGCUGAUUUUCAAAUGAUACACUAUUCCCUAUAUAGGGGCACUACUUUUGAUUGAGGCCCAUAGUGCAUUACUUUUGAAUUAGGGCUCAUAGGGCCCUGGUCAAAAGUAAUGCACUAUAUAGGGAAUAGGGUGCCAUUUGGAAUGUAAUGCAUGAGUUAAAGAUCUGAUUAAAUCAUCUCUGAUAAAGUACCUUACUGGGAUUACUUUCAAUCAAAAAGGUACAAAAUGAAAGAAAACUUGCUCCUUAUCAAAGAGCAAUUUCUCAAGUAAGAAUUUUGCUAGGAUUGUCUGUGAGUGGUCUGAGUGGGGAGGGGAGUGGUCUGAGUUGGGAGUGGUCUGAGUGGGGAGGGGAAAACUGAAAACUAGCUGUGAUUGGCAGAGAGGUUUGGAACUCUCUUUCUUAUUGGUCUAUUCACUCAUUUACCGUGAUGUCACCAGGCAGGCCAAAAGUCCAUCCAAAAACAGUCAGACAUUUGAUGCGGUCUCUUCAAACAGCUCUUACGCUAAAAAGGGCAUUAUCGUCAUUAAAAAAAUAAUUCACAGUAUUGUUCCAACCUCACUAGUGCGUACAUUAUAUAUAUAAAACACAAGGAAAAUCACAUUUUUGACUGCACUGGGCCUUUAAAGCAUUAUUCUGUCAUGUGUGUAAAGGGGGCAUUAAAACAAAAGACCUGAGCCUUGUAGCUUUGUUAUUGUUGUUAAUAUUCAAAUUAUUAUUGAGCAUGUAUUUGUAUGAACCUGGAUAUGAUAAAUAUUGUGAUUCCAAAGA